CUCCUACGGAGGCAGCAGUGGGGAAUAUUGGACAAUGGGCGCAAGCCUGAUCCAGCCAUGCCGCGUGAGUGAUGACGGCCUUAGGGUUGUAAAGCUCUUUCGCUCGGGACGAUAAUGACGGUACCGACGACUAACGAAGCCCGGCUAACUUCGUGCCAGCAGCCGCGGUAAUUCC
rnacentral:rRNA from 1 species